rnacentral:rRNA from 1 species
AUGAUCUCAGUUGUGGCAUUGGCUAGGGCCUUGUACUCAGCUUCUGUGCUUGAUAAUGACACGGUAGCUUGUUUCUUUGCACACCAUGAUAUUAAGUUGGGACCAAAGAACACUGCAAACCCAUCAGUGGAGCGUCUGUCAUCUACACAUCCUGCCCAGUCAGAGUCAGAGAAAGCACUGACCAGUGUGGAUGAGGACUUGGUAAAACAAAGGAAAUAUCAGGUCGUGUCAAGGUCAGGUACUGAAGUGCUCCUACCAAGCUUCUGUAUCUGGUGCUAUCAUCAGGACUCAAAAGUUCUCCUUCUGCAAGUGACAAUUUUUCUGUGCUAG